rnacentral:rRNA from 1 species
AGCGAACGCUGGCGGCAGGCCUAACACAUGCAAGUCGAACGAAGUCUUCGGACUAAGUGGCGGACGGGUGAGUAACACGUGGGAACGUGCCUUUAGGUUCGGAAUAACUCAGGGAAACUUGUGCUAAUACCGAAUGUGCCCUUCGGGGGAAAGAUUUAUCGCCUUUAGAGCGGCCCGCGUCUGAUUAGCUAGUUGGUGAGGUAAAGGCUCACCAAGCCUACGAUCCAUAGCUGGUCUGAGAGGAUGGUCAGCCACACUGGGACUGAGACACGGCCCAGACUCCUACGGGAGGCAGCAGUAGGGAAUCUUGCGCAAUGGGCGAAAGCCUGACGCAGCCAUGCCGCGUGUAUGAUGAAGGUCUUAGGAUUGUAAAAUACUUUCACCGGGGAAGAUAAUGACGGUACCCGGAGAAGAAGCCCCGGCUAACUUCGUGCCAGCCGCCGCGGUAAAAC